rnacentral:lncRNA from 1 species
CAGGACCAGGUCCCCGGAAGACAGAGGCAGAAAAGGCUUUUGCCUGUGGUUGGUCACAUUGUUUGCAUAAAUAGAAGAGUCCACCUGAGAGGCCCGGGGUCCUUCCAGGAGGGCACGUUUGAAGCUGGUUCCGAGAACCCUAAUUUUUAAAUGGACACAUUGCUGAACAGCUAAGAAACUACGUUCCCAGCUUCCCUUGCAUCUCUGAUGACCACGUGACCAGGUUUUAGCCAAUGGGAGGCUAAUAGAAGUGUCACAUAGAUGUGGUGGACCAACUGUUACAACGAUGCCCGUGACCCUCGGCUCCGGAGGUUGACAUCUUCGUGUGAUCUUCUCCCCUGGAGGUGGGCAGGAGCUCUGACCUGCUUCUAGAGGCAGAGAAUACAGCAAAUGUGGUAGGAUGUCUGUGACUCCAUGUGCAUGAUUACGUGUUCAUACGUACAUCACUACGUACAGAAGAUGGUAAUGUCUGUCUUCCAAGCAGCCUCUGUCUUCCUUGCUCGUUUGCUGAAGGAAGUGGCCUUUAGGGGAAAGCCCACAGGACAAGAAACUGCAGGUGGCUUCUGGGAGCUGAGGGAGGCCUCCAGCCACCAGCCGGGAAGAAACGGAAGCCCUCAGUCCCACAACCACAGAGCUGGAAUGCUCUCAACAGAGCCAUGUUAACUUGGAGAUUAGCCCUGAGCUAACAUCUGCUGCCAAUCCUCCUCUUUUUGCUGAGGAAGACUGGCCCUAAGCUAACAUCCGUGCCCAUCUUCCUCUACUUUAUAUGUGGGACGCCUGCCACAGCAUGGCUUGACCGGUGGUGCCAUGUCUGCAGAACUCACACAGUUGGAGUCAACCCUCCGCAGGCUGCAGAGAGAUUCCAGACCUGAAUUACCCACCCAUCUUUCUUUUGUGUUUUUCUUUAACAUUUUCUGAAAGGGCAGCUCCAGGAACCUGAAUAUUCACUUUUGUUGCAUCCAGCAUAAUAGCCUUCCUUUGAGUAUUCACAACAAGUCCAAACAAACCUUCAGCCGCACAGGUUUUAUCAGCCGAGUCAGAACUGCCAACCGAAGGGGGAGAUAAAUAGCAAAAGGAACAGCCACGUGGAGUAAACGGCACCACACAUGGCAGGGAACACGUUCAGCGGGCAGAGCCCGGGAGCGCCCGGCCCGUGACCAGGAGCGUGGGCAGCGUGGAGCAUCAGGAGGCCGGAAGAAUCAGAGAGCAGGCUGGAGGAGCAGGG